rnacentral:snRNA from 1 species
UACUGUUAUAGCUCUUUUAGAUUUUGUCUAGCAGGCUUUCUGUUUUUUGCUAAAAAUCCUCC